rnacentral:rRNA from 1 species
AUGUUCUGUAUUCUUGUGAUGUUGCAGAUGGCCGACUACCAGUUGAUGCUGCUCGUCUAUGCCGGUGGGGUUGUCCUCAUGGCCCUCGUCACUGUCCCCAACUGGCCCUUCUUCAACCGGCACCCACUCAAGUGGCUGGACGCCGCCGAGGCUGAUUGCCACCCCCACCCGCAAAUCAGCACCACACCAACGACUACCGGGGGUAAGAAAAAUACCAAGAAGAACAAGUAG